GACGAACGCUGGCGGCGUGCCUAAUACAUGCAAGUAGAACGCUGAAGGAGGAGCUUGCUUCUCCGGAUGAGUUGCGAACGGGUGAGCAACGCGUAGGUAACCUGCCUGGUAGCGGGGGAUAACUAUUGGAAACGAUAGCUAAUACCGCAUAAGAGUAGAUGUUGCAUGACAUUUGCUUAAAAGGUGCUAUUGCAUCACUACUAGAUGGACCUGCGUUGUAUUAGCUAGUUGGUAGGGUAACGGCUCACCAAGGCGACGAUACAUAGCCGACCUGAGAGGGUGGUCGGCCACACUGGACUGAGACACGGCCCAGACUCCUACGGGAGGCAGCAGUAGGGAAUCUUCGGCAAUGGACGGAAGUCUGACCGAGCAACGCCGCGUGAGUGAAGAAGGUUUUCGGAUCGUAAAGCUCUGUUGUAAGAGAAGAACGAGUGUGAGAGUGGAAAGUUCACACUGUGACGGUAUCUUACCAGAAAGGGACGGCUAACUACGUGC
rnacentral:rRNA from 1 species